GUUUUUCAUUCCCUAUUAUCUUUGACGACGAGUUGAAGAAGUUAAAAGGAGGCAGGUGUGCAUUCGACAGAUAAAGUUAACUGAACUAUUGGGAGUUUCAGAGUUAAAACCUUAGUCCACUGCGUACCAAGGUUCCUGAGCAGCGAACUCGUGAGAUAGACAAGCAUGCAGUCUUUUCUCCUUAAGCAGAUAGUUAAAUAUAUAACUAACUACCAUACCAGAAUUGAAUAAUAUUUUGGGAGGCAGCAGUCUGCCCCCUGUAUGAGAAGGUUCCUCAACUUUCAUGGAUCCAUGUCCAAGGGUCGCAUCCAUGUCUCGGGAGUGAAGAAUAAGAUAUGACAUUAUUAUGCACUACUCAGCGAGGUUUUCUAGUAAAUAUGCUCCGCUCCGUUGAAAAUAAAAAAAAAGGGGGGGGCCAACUCAAUUCAGGAAGUUAAUAUUGAGAGAAAAAGAUGUCAAAUAGUGAAUGCAGAAAGUCAAAUAAAAAAGAUAAAAAGUAAAAAAGUAAAAGAAAAUGGUCUGAUGAUAUUUGAGCUGCGAAGCGCUUAAUGAGUUCAGAGUAUAGUUACUUCAGUUUGGCUAUAUCCAUGCGAUUUUACUGUCCGUUCCUGCAUAAGAG
rnacentral:sRNA from 2 species